rnacentral:snRNA from 1 species
AUCCCUUCUUGGCCUUUUAGCUAAAAUCAAGUGUAGUAUCUAUUCUUGUCAAUUUUGUGCCACACAUAUCUUCAAUAUGAGGACAUGAUAUUAAAUGAGCGUGGGAAGUGGGAGGUGGACUUGGAGCUUGCUCUGUGCCUUGACCUAGCAAUGCAGUGCCCCAGGCAAUAGGAC